UGCAAAGAUAAUGAAAUAUCGAUCGAUAUAGCUGCCAAACUAGCAAACCGUAAAUAAGAGUUUCUUUUAAUUUCUUCAAACGAAUGUGACCCUAGCCCUAGCAGCAUGCAUAUAAUGUGAUCCUUACUAUCAUUCCACGUCCUCAUUGCUACGUUUUCAUCAUCUGAUGCUACUGCAGCUAAAAAAAUGAUUGAUUGGGUCAAAGUAUAUAUUGUGAAGGACUUCAUUCAUCCUCUCUAGAUCUUUACCUUUUCAUUUCCGUCACAGAAUGAAUCUUCAUGUUCGAUCUCCUUUUCAUGAAAACAUUACCACAUCAAAGUCACAAGAAAAUUGAAGACCACACUUCCAUCUACUAAACCCACCCAAGAACCACUUCGAAUAACCACCAUAUGUGGAGGUUUAAGGCCGCGGAAUUUGAUGAGUUCCGAUUGCCUUAUCCUUUGUUUGGCGAAUUGGCUAAAGGGCGACUGUCUCUACUACCUAACCUUUUAGCCCAUAAUCCCAGGAGUAAAACUGGACCAACCCCGACAUCACUACACCACCGUAGGUGGCGAGUCAAUGAUAUGAAGUUGACGGCACCCACGGCCUAUACUGCCACUUUGUCUCAGGUAUAAAGUUGUUCUCAAGUUGAGUUAUACAUGCUGUAAAAAUUUGGUGAACUUUAAAGUUGGUCGGAAAACUGAGUUCUUGUUCGCCAGAAACCACCUCGAGCGGCAGUGAGUGGGAAACUCAAAUGACAUGGAUUUUGGCAUCAAUACAUACUCAAUACCUUAAGCCCAUGCAUGUUCGAAUGUUUGAUUAAUUAUUCAAUGUUUGAGAUAAUUCUACCGCCGUUUUAAUUUUCGUCAUUGACGACAGUUUGACUGUUGGAUCAUUAUGCAACUUAUUGGGCAUGCUAGUUGAUUUUAGACUUUUAGAACUUGUGGAACGAAAAUUUGACGUUCGAAUCUUCUAGAUUUGAGAAUCUAGGGUUGUUGAUCCUAACAGGGCCUACUUUGGCCGACUGUUGACUUUUUAUUCAACGUGCCCUAAAUUAUUCUGGUGUAUCAUUUAUCUAUAGGAUUUUGAGUUAAGACUUGUAUGUUUUAUUAGGCGUUGAUCAUGUCUGAGUUCAUGCUAGUUGGUAGCAGUGUGGACUUUUGUGCUUUAUUACGUGUUGAUUGUAUAUUAUGUUGUCAUAUGACAGAUGUGUAAUCCUAUUAUCCAUCUUGUAAUUCUACCAUUUUUGCGAAGAUUAGUAAGAUAUCUUUCUUCAUGAA